CCCAUAUAACGUUUCUACUCACUCUAAAGAAACCCUAAUCACUACUCCCUCCUCUUCCGCCGCCUCCAACUCCGCCUUCCUCUCUAUUGCACUGCAUUGAAGCGUGAUCUUGGAAAUGAAGGAGUCUGGAAACGAUGGGUUCGUCGGUUCCGAAGGCAAACUCCCGGCCGUGUCGCCGCCUUCCCCCGUCGAACCGUCCGUGCCGGUGGCUGCGCCGAAAGUGACAACAGCAGAUUCCUUAAUUUAUCUGAGGACUGUGAAGGAAAAUUUUCGUGACAGGAAGGAUAAGUAUGAUGAAUUUCUUGAUGUCAUAAAAGCUUUCAAGGGUCGAAGAAUUGAUAUUGACGGCGUCAUAGCCAAAGUUAAGGAGCUAUUCGAAGGUAAUUGGGGCCUAAUUUUGGGGUUCAAUGCCUUUUUGCCAGAAGGAUAUGAAAUCACACUCCCUGAGGAUGAAUCUCUGGAGGAGCCACUAGAAUUCGACGAAGCUAUCAAUUUCGUUAGCAAAAUCAAGGCUACAUUUCAAGGUCAGGAUCAUGUUUACAUAUCAUUCCUUAAACUCUUGAAUAUGUACAGAAGCGGUCGUAAAUCCAUAACGGAAGUUCAUCAGGAGGUUGAAGUUCUUUUCCGUGGACACCAUGACCUACUUGUUGAGUUCACUCAUUUCUUGCCUGAUCCUUCGGACACAAAGUAUGAGUAUCUACCCAGAAACACUACUCGCCGUUGGAAUGAUUGAAGCUCUCCCGUACCUCAAGCAAGGCCGAUGCAUGUUGAAAAGGGAAGUUUCAAGCUUAAAAAGGGAUGCCAUUGAACGCAAUUUGAGGAGUUUCUUGAUUUCAAGUUUGUCUUUCCAAAUUGUCAUAGACGAGGAUCUGCGGUGUUGGAAUUUAGUCAAGUUUGUGCACCUUAACGCUAUCAAAAAUAAUUUCAGAGACCGGAUGAUAUGCUGAUUGGCCCUGACUUGGCAAGAAACAUAAAGCUUUGCGAUAUAAUAAACAUGGAUCCAGGAUAACUUUUUUUUUUCUAUUGGGAUUCCUACAAUGAUAUAUCAUUUCGAUUGAAUGUUUUUCUAUAUUUUAUAAUUGCAUCAUAAUUCAUGAGAUGAAUUCGAAUACAGGCCUGCCUUGAAGUUGCAAGAAAAUAUAGGGGAAUAAGAGCUCUAAAAUUAAGAUCCUUGCACUAUUUGUAAGUUGUUGCCCUCUGCCUAAUACAUUUUUCCAAGCUUGUUCAUUUAGCGACUGUAUCUUUCUCA